GGACAUGCAGUGGGCUGUUGCAUGGUACAGCUGUGAGCAUGGUCGGCGCGUGACUGCUGGAUUAUGACAAUAUGCCGCGUGUACAAAGCCCAUGAACCAAUAGACAGGAUGGCUAUGGCACGUGCAGCACGCCUGGCCAGCAAGCGCAUGCGUCAUAGGCUCCCCAUGUUGCAACCGAGGCGGAUUUUGGCACCCGCUGGCCACGUGUGCUGAAAUCUGUUCCUCUGCAGAUGAAUAAAUACCGGGAUUUUCCAAAGAGCACCGGGCUGGUGUACGGCAAGGCCAUCGUUGCCUCUGUGGGGACGCCCACGUAAAGCUGGCACCUACCGAUUGCUGGGCUGAGUUCGCGGAGCAAUACAGCACAAGAAUGUACGGAUGGUCCAUCUUCCUCACAGUCCUCGGAUGGACGUAGUCAUGGAUACCGCCGCAAGCCAAAGAAAACAUCUGGAUGACCCUGGCUGACGUGACCGGACAAGAUUGCUUAUGCCUCCAUACAGCAACACCAAGCAAUCCCUUUUUCACAGGUUUAAUAGGGGGUUCCACUGGCAUCAACGAAGUUUAAGAACUUAUUGAUGGAGACCCCUGUGCAGCAGGUCAUGGACUCAAUGGAUGGGAAUGCCUGGUUUCCACGGAUCGGGCAUUCACCCUCAUUGCCACCCCAGGAAUCACAAAUUCUGGGAUCCCUGAAUACAGAUUGGUGUAGUAUUAUCUGAUUUACUGUUAGAUGUAGAUAGUAUUAGACACACAACCUUACAAAAUAG